GCAGCAGAUACUGAAGCCAUUAAUGAUAAAUUCAUAUUUACAAUGUUAGAAAAAUAAGAUUCUGAUUAUGAAACAAAAGAUUGUUUUUAGGCUGAAGAAGUAAAUAAUAGUAAGAAUAAGAACUUCUGCAAAAGCCAAGUCUUCAGAUGAUCAGAGAAAGUAUUUAAUGGUGAAAGACAGAAAACUGAAUAAUGUCAUCAAAAUUUGCCUUUUGUCUUGGGCUGUUGCAGCUAGUUUUCUUGGUCAGUGGUGUUAAGGAUAUUCAUGUUGUUGUACAACCAAUCAUCUCCAGAACUCUUUUUACCUUGCAAAAGAAACUCAGCACUCAUUAAACAACUCCCCAUUGCCUCUUCCCGACCUCUGUCAACCAUCAUUCUACUUCUGUCUUUGAAUUUGACUACUCUAGCUAUCUCAUACAAAUGGAAUCAUGCAGUAUUUGCUUUUUUGGUGACUGGCUUAUGUCAUGGUUCAUCCAUGUUGUAAUAUG